UAAUGCCGGAUGCUCCAUCACACCGCAUGGUGUGUUGGGAAAGCCUUUGCGGCAUGGGAUGGGGUCGCGUCCUAUCAGCUUGAUGGCGGGGUAACGGCCCACCAUGGCUUCGACGGGUAGCCGGCCUGAGAGGGCGACCGGCCACAUUGGGACUGAGAUACGGCCCAGACUCCUACGGGAGGCAGCAGUGGGGAAUAUUGCACAAUGGGCGCAAGCCUGAUGCAGCGACGCCGCGUGAGGGAUGGAGGCCUUCGGGUUGUAAACCUCUUUUGUUAGGGAGCAAGGCAUUUUGUGUUGAGUGUACCUUUCGAAUAAGCACCGGCUAACUACGUGCCAGCAGCCGCGGUAAUACGUAGGGUGCAAGCGUUAUCCGGAAUUAUUGGGCGUAAAGGGCUCGUAGGCGGUUCGUCGCGUCCGGUGUGAAAGUCCAUCGCUUAACGGUGGAUCCGCGCCGGGUACGGGCGGGCUUGAGUGCGGUAGGGGAGACUGGAAUUCCCGGUGUAACGGUGGAAUGUGUAGAUAUCGGAAAAGAACACC
rnacentral:rRNA from 1 species